rnacentral:tRNA from 1 species
GCUCUCGUAGUCUAGUCCGGUUAUGACGCCACCCUCUCACGGUGGAGAUCACGGGUUCAAAUCCCGUCGGGAGUA